rnacentral:rRNA from 1 species
UGUGAACUGCAGGACACAUGAACAUCGACAUUUCGAACGCACAUUGCGGUCCACGGAUACAAUUCCCGGACCACGCCUGGCUGAGGGUCGUUUCUAAAUUAAAGACUGCUUAUCCAUUUUAAGUACACAUCAAUUGUGUAUAUUAUUUUGGAUUCAAGCGAAAGAAUGAAUGCUCGUUAAACUUUUAAUAGUUUGGCGUCAUUUGAAAUAAGUUGAAUACAUAUAAAUUUAUGAAUUGAUAACCAUCAAAAAAUAUUGAACGUAGCCACGUGUCAACUGAACAUGGUGUGUGUUUAAUCAUUGAAUGGUUGUCGAGUCAAUGGAGCACUAAAUAAUGAUAAAGAGCACCGACCGACAAUCUCAUUGAUGCAUUUGAAUGAAAUAAUAAUAAUAUUGAAAUAAACAAACACACACAAUGAAACAUGUCGUUGUACACAAAUAAGUGGUAUUGAAAAGAAAGGAAUGAUGAGUUAUCAUUUUUAUAUUUUAUUAUUGAUGACGACCUCAGAUUAGGCGAGACUACCCCCUAAAUUUAAGCAUAAGGGC